rnacentral:misc_RNA from 1 species
CGCAGCCGCGGUAAUUCCAGCUCCAAUAGCGUAUAUUAAAGUUGUUGCAGUUAAAAAGCUCGUAGUUGAAUUUCGGGAUCAAUAUGUCGGUCGUGCCUUCGGUACGUACUGGUAUCAUUGGUCUCUUCUUUCUGACGAACCAUGAUGUCAUUAAUUUGGUGUUAUGGGGAGUUAGGACUGUUACUUUGAAAAAAUUAGAGUGUUUAAAGCAGGCUUUAGCUUGAAUACAUUAGCAUGAAAUAAUGAAAUAGGACGUUCGAACCUAUUUUGUUGGUUUCUAGGAUCAACGUAAUGAUUAAUAGGGAUAGUUGGGGGCAUUAGUAUUCAACUGUCAGAGGUGAAAUUCUUGGAUUUAUUGAAGACUAACUACUGCGAAAGCAUUUGCCAAGGAUGUUUUCAUUAAUCACGAACGAAAGUUAGGGGAUCGAAGACGAUCAGAUACCGUCGUAGUCUUAACCAUAAACUAUGCCGACUAGGGGUCGGAUGAUGUUAAUUUUUUAAUGACUCAUUCGGCGCCUUA